rnacentral:rRNA from 1 species
GACGUAGGGCGCAAGCGUUGUCCGGAUUUAUUGGGCGUAAAGAGCUCGUAGGCGGUUCAUUGCGUCAAUCGUGAAAUCCUGUGGCUCAACUACAGGCUUGCGGUUGAUACGGGUGGGCUGGAGUUCGGUAGGGGAGACUGGAAUUCCUGGUGUAGCGGUGAAAUGCGCAGAUAUCAGGAGGAACACCGGUGGUGUAGACGGCUUUCUGGACCGUAACUGACGCUGAGACACGAAAGCGUGGGUAGCAAACAGG